rnacentral:misc_RNA from 1 species
AAGUCGUAACAAGGUUUCCGUAGGUGAACCUGCGGAAGGAUCAUUACCAAAUCCAAAAUCCUUCAACCCCUUGUGAACUAUGAUUUAAUUUAUUGUUUGUCUUUGGGGAGUUUGUUUUAAAUAUCAAAUUAAAAAUUUUGUUUGAAAGAAUAGAAUUUUUAUUUUAAAUGUAUUUACUUACUACUCCCCAAAAGAGUUCCCUCCCUCCACUCUUUCAGGGUGUGGGAGAAAAACUCACCCAUGUUUAAACUACUUUUUAUAAACUUUUUUUUUUGGAAUGCUUUUAUUUUUACUAAUAAAAGACAACUUUUAACGGUGGAUCUCUUGGCUCGUG